rnacentral:lncRNA from 1 species
UUAGAAGCAAGAUGGAGUCGGUUAGGUCAGACCUCUUUCACUGUCUCAGUUAUAAUUUUGCAAUGGCAGUUUCAGUUGUUGAUCUGGCAGAUGUUUUCUUUUCCCAUCUGGAAAGAGGAUCAAAGCAGAGGACAUUUAUGCAGAAAAGAUAGCAAAAUAUAUUCCAUGCUGCAAGGUUAUGUUAACUCUUCAGGUUUUUGUCACAGUAUAGUAGGAAGGAACUUUGUGUAUCUUAACAUUCCACAGAGCAUCAUAGUAUUUAUUAUAUUGAUGACAUCAUGUUAAUUGUGUUGGUGCAAGGAAGUGGGAAGUAUUCUGGAUACCUUGGCAAGACCCAUGGGUCUUGCGUCAUAGCCUGAGAGAUAAAUCCUACAAUGAUUUAGGGGUCUGCCAUACUUAUGAAGAUUUUAGGGACUCAAUGGUUUGGGCUAUGCAGGGAUAUCCCCUUUAAGAUGCCAAGAACCUGGACAUCCUCCACCAGAACAAUCUCACAACAUGUCAAGUUUCCAGAGAUUGCUACUGCCUUCUUAAGCAGAUUUUCAAUGACCUAAGUUCCACUGGAAGUAGACCUAACAUAACUAGGAUGAACAGGAAACCUCUGAAUGUGAAAGUGAACACUAUUAAUACUUACAUGAAGGCAACAGGCAUGAACUGGAACAACCUUGGCCAUGCUGGGACGUAUGUUCACCCUAAGCAAAGAUCAGGAAUUCAGGCAGGGCUUGGCUGAGUGACUUCUCUGUUCCACAUGGCAUUGACACGGUACGUUUCAGCUGGUGGCUGGCCUGGUCUGGUGGGUCCAAGGUAGCUUUGUUCACAUGCCUGCUGUCUUGGUGAGGUGGCCAGAAGUUUGGGCUGAGCUAGUUCUUUCUCUCUUUUUCUGCAGUCUCAGGGCCUCUCCAUGUGUUUUCUCGAGCAAUGUGUUUGGUCUUCUGGAAUUAUGAUUCAUGGAUUCAAGAGACCACGGUAGAAGCUUCUAAUCCUCUUAAAAAGCAAGACUGAUCAUGGGAAACUGUCCUGUCCACUAGUACAUUAUUUCAAUCAGAGGAAGCUACUCUCUGAUUUGUAACCUACUUCUGUCUCCAGGACAACCAUAAGACCAAAGGACUCCUUGGACACCUAGUCAGGAGGGUGGUGAGUUGAACUGAGCAAGCUUGAGCAUCUCAAACUGAAGUGGACACUUGCGCUUUAUACAGAGUAAGGCCCAAAUUGAAUUAACCUGGAGUGAGUCUGCAACAAGCCUAGCGUCUGCAUUUCUAUAACUGAUCUCAGCUAACACUGGAGCUACUUAAAUUCCCAAUGAUUUUAGAAAACUAUUUUUUUUAAAGUGUGUGAUUUGAAGGUAAAUGAACCUAUUCCAAUUUAACUGCUUUAUUUUUGUGGUUGCAUAUAUAAUCAUAUUUAAGCAAUUUAAAAUCCAAACUCCCUUUUGGAGCUGUUUUAUUUUCUGAAGGGUCUUCCUUCCUUUUUCUUAUGCCCAAGAUGGUGUCUGGGUGCAGAAGGAAGCUUAUUUACCUUCCGGCUUUGGGGAAGGGCUCCUUACCCAAGUGAUGUGGUUCUCUCGUUUCCCUGUUGAUCACCAGCUGAGAUAUGUACUCACCUCACUUGACUUCUAUCCUCACUGUGUCUGCUGAUAAAAUGUCAGUUUUGUCCUCCAUUAGCUUUCUGGCCUGCCUGUGUAACCCAAGGCCUUCAGUGUCAUCUCACCUCUCUCUGUAGUGACCCAAAGGCAAGUUCAUAGAUUCCUGACUCUUGGCUAGCUUCUAUGACUUUUUCUAGGAACAAGUAGGAGCUUCUGGCUCUUUUCUAUACUGCAAGGGAAAGUGUAGUAAACUUGAGGAUGGCUAAUACAGUCCCCUCUAACAACUCAUGCUUCUUUCUCCUCCACUGCAAACACACAUGCUGGUUUAGGCCAGCAGGCACUAUGUGUGGUGUGGUGGUCUGCCCUCUGUCCCAGACAGGAAUUGCAGUGCCUGAGGGCCUUUUUCCACCCAGGGCACAACUCGCCAGUUUGAAGUUUCUAGCUUAUCUAUCUUCUCUGCCUCAUUUCUGGCUCCACAUUCAACCCCUCCACUGGCUAAAUCUUAGGGGUCCAGAGUGGGACCACUGAGAUCCUAAAGAAUCCAGGCAGGGCGUGCACUUUGCUCCCUGCUAAGCUCUCCUGCUGCUCAGGAGGGGUGUGUGCCCUCUCCUCAAUCUGGUAGAUACUUCUUUCAUCAUUGGUUUUGAAAUCCUCCACUGAUGACUUUGUUGUUCUGGGUGUUUCCUCUGUCCUCUCCUCUCAUAUCUUAAUGGUGGAUAGGGUUUUAGGGAUUAAAAAAUCUCUGGAUUACUGAAAGGAAAAAUGUUUAGAGAGGCAUUUAAGAUGAUUUUUCUUAUUAUCACUUUUAAACCCACACUGAAGGUCUAGGUCCUAUACCUGUUCUGUUGGAAUCUUGGCCAAUCUCACAGUUUUUCUGGUCAUUCUUAGAAUAGUUAUAAUGGCCUUUGUUUAAAAAACAAUUUCAUAUGAAAACUAAAAUAUGCAGGUCAGCAUAAUAAUCAAACCCUUAUACUCUUACCUAAAUGUCAUUACGUAGGUUUCCCCCAAACAUCACCUCCUCAGGGAGGCUUUCUCUGACCAUUAAAUGUAGCCUCAUGGAAGUUCUAGGCAACCUUUGCCAUUUCCUGUUGUAACACCUUGAUUUAGUUCACUUAACAUAUACAUAUUGGGGGCUUACUACGUGGCAUCCAGAAUUAUUCUAGGCACUAGGAAUAUCACAAUAAAUAAGACAGAGCCGGUCCUUUACCUAGUGGAAGGACACAAGCACUAGACAAACAAUUAAAUGAGCAAGAAAAAUAUCAUUUAGCAGCAUGUGCUAUGCAGAUAAUUUUGUUUUUUGAGACAGAGUCUCACUGUGUCACCCAGGCUGGAGUGCAG